rnacentral:tRNA from 6 species
GGGGCCAUAGCUCAGUUGGGAGAGCGCUUGCAUGGCAUGCAAGAGGUCGUCGGUUCGAUUCCGAUUGGCUCCACCA